rnacentral:misc_RNA from 1 species
UAAAUCAUCAAUCUUUUUUGAAUCGUCAUUGAUUCAGUCAAGAUUGGAUUGUGGGGGUCUGCGGGCUCGUAUCAGAGUCGGCUCUCCUUAAAAAUGUUAGUGAGGCCUUUGUCGACCGUCACUGGUGUGAUAAUUAUCUACGCCACUCGAAGGUCUUCAUUGUUGGACUCGCUUCUAACUUGGUCUGGUUAACAGACGACUUUGACUA